UAAGAGUUUGAUCCUGGCUCAGAUUGAACGCUGGCGGCAUGCUUUACACAUGCAAGUCGGACGGCAGCACAGGGAAGCUUGCUUCUCGGGUGGCGAGUGGCGAACGGGUGAGUAACAUAUCGGAACGUACCGGGUAGCGGGGAUAACUGAUCGAAAGAUCAGCUAAUACCGCAUACGUCUUGAGAGGGAAAGCAGGGGACCUUCGGGCCUUGCGCUAUCCGAGCGGCCGAUAUCUGAUUAGCUGGUUGGCGGGGUAAAGGCCCACCAAGGCGACGAUCAGUAGCGGGUCUGAGAGGAUGAUCCGCCACACUGGGACUGAGACACGGCCCAGACUCCUACGGGAGGCAGCAGUGGGGAAUUUUGGACAAUGGGCGCAAGCCUGAUCCAGCCAUGCCGCGUGUCUGAAGAAGGCCUUCGGGUUGUAAAGGACUUUUGUCAGGGAAGAAAAGGCCGUUGCCAAUAUCGGCGGCCGAUGACGGUACCUGAAGAAUAAGCACCGGCUAACUACGUGCCAGCAGCCGCGGUAAUACGUAGGGUGCGAGCGUUAAUCGGAAUUACUGGGCGUAAAGCGGGCGCAGACGGUUACUUAAGCAGGAUGUGAAAUCCCGGGCUCAACCCGGGAACUGCGUUCUGAACUGGGUGACUCGAGUGUGUCAGAGGGAGGUGGAAUUCCACGUGUAGCAGUGAAAUGCGUAGAGAUGUGGAGGAAUACCGAUGGCGAAGGCAGCCUCCUGGGAUAACACUGACGUUCAUGUCCGAAAGCGUGGGUAGCAAACAGGAUUAGAUACCCUGGUAGUCCACGCCCUAAACGAUGUCAAUUAGCUGUUGGGCAACUUGAUUGCUUGGUAGCGUAGCUAACGCGUGAAAUUGACCGCCUGGGGAGUACGGUCGCAAGAUUAAAACUCAAAGGAAUUGACGGGGACCCGCACAAGCGGUGGAUGAUGUGGAUUAAUUCGAUGCAACGCGAAGAACCUUACCUGGUUUUGACAUGUGCGGAAUCCUCCGGAGACGGAGGAGUGCCUUCGGGAGCCGUAACACAGGUGCUGCAUGGCUGUCGUCAGCUCGUGUCGUGAGAUGUUGGGUUAAGUCCCGCAACGAGCGCAACCCUUGUCAUUAGUUGCCAUCAUUCGGUUGGGCACUCUAAUGAGACUGCCGGUGACAAGCCGGAGGAAGGUGGGGAUGACGUCAAGUCCUCAUGGCCCUUAUGACCAGGGCUUCACACGUCAUACAAUGGUCGGUACAGAGGGUAGCCAAGCCGCGAGGCGGAGCCAAUCUCACAAAACCGAUCGUAGUCCGGAUUGCACUCUGCAACUCGAGUGCAUGAAGUCGGAAUCGCUAGUAAUCGCAGGUCAGCAUACUGCGGUGAAUACGUUCCCGGGUCUUGUACACACCGCCCGUCACACCAUGGGAGUGGGGGAUACCAGAAGUAGGUAGGGUAACCGCAAGGAGUCCGCUUACCACGGUAUGCUUCAUGACUGGGGUGAAGUCGUAACAAGGUAGCCGUAGGGGAACCUGCGGCUGGAUUACCUCCUUU
rnacentral:rRNA from 1 species